AUGGUUUAUCUUUAUUAUUGAGUCGGAUGAUUCCUUCUAUAAAAAUAUUUGAGUGUGAUGGCACCUAUUAAAUAAAAUAAAUUAACAUUUUUUACUCAUAAAAUAAAGUAACAUAAGAAAAAUAUUAUAUGUACAUGGAUUAAGUAUUAUUUUUUUUACAACACGAUAAAAAAAAAUUGAAUGGUAAAAACAAAUAGACAAGAACGAUUUAAUUAGUUUUUUUUUUUAGAGAAAUUAUGAUUUGGUUAAUUUAAAAUUAUUGGUUGUAUUGUUUAAACUCCACUCUUCACGGCUCAGUCUUCUUAAUAAUAAUAAUAAUAAUUAAAUAAAUGCCAAAUGGAAGCAUAAGUCAUAACCUUACUUUUCUCAAUGGUGUUGCAGCGCCCUCCUUCUCUUACCAGUUACCCUCAUCUCCUAUUCUCUCUAAACCAAAACCUGCAUCUCCUUCCCUUACUAGAUCUACAUUAUUUCCACAUCUCCGUACUGUUUUCGAGUUGAUCUGUUUCAAGAAUCGUACUGUAAUCUUCUUCCUACCGCUGCUGGAUCUCACCAUCUUCUUUCUCUAUUACUUUUGUUUUAACUUUUAACGAUUGAAAAACACUUUGUGCAUUGAACCGGUCCGGUUCACCAAACCGGUCCGAGUCACCGGUUUCUACGAUUUUCCCCGAGUCGCGCCGGUUCUGACCGGUUCAACUGCACGACCGAUCCAUUAAGUAGACCGAACCGGUCAUCCAUCCGGUUCAAGGUUCGACCGGCCGGUCCGAGUUUUAAAACUAUGAGAGAGAUAAUAAGAAGAUAAUGUGAGUAUGAGAGAGAAGGUUGUACAAAAUUGUCAUAUAUGGAUGUACAAAUAUCAUUUCAUAAAAAAAAAAAAAAAAAAAAAAAAAAAAACACUCAAAUUGCAUCAUAAGACAACGACAAGAGAAAGGGCAAAAUCAUGUUUGCUCGAAGAAUUGUCGCUGCUGUUNAUUUUUUUAAUAAACGGACUUUUUUAUUCAUUAAUUUAUUUUAUGUACACAUAAAAACAUAAAUUUGAAAUUUUAUAAUUUAAUCAAUUUUUGUGUUACUUAA
rnacentral:lncRNA from 1 species